UACGUAGGGUGCAAGCGUUAAUCGGAAUUACUGGGCGUAAAGCGUGCGCAGGCGGUUUUGUAAGUCUGAUGUUAAAUCCCCGGGCUCAACCUGGGAAUUGCAUUGGAGACUGCAAGGCUAGAAUCUGGCAGAGGGGGGUAGAAUUCCACGUGUAGCAGUGAAAUGCGUAGAUAUGUGGAGGAACACCGAUGGCGAAGGCAGCCCCCUGGGUCAAGAUUGACGCUCAUGCACGAAAGCGUGGGGAGCAAACAGG
rnacentral:rRNA from 1 species